CAAUCUAUCUCUGCAGGAGAAUGUUGCAUUGAAGAUUUGGUAGCACUUAAUUUUGUUUGCUCCGUGCUACUAUAGAGCCUUGUAGUAUUGUUUCCGAAAAUAGUAGAGGUGCGACAACGCUGUGGGAGUGAGUGAAAACUUACUUUCUGUCUGGGAUGACACUCCCUGGCUCUAUGUUACCGACUUGCUUGUUGCCUAUGUUGCUAUGGCUCCUAUAUUUACUCAAUGGAUAUAAUCUGGUCAUGGUAAAA